rnacentral:lncRNA from 1 species
AAAAAAUAAAUCAAUACAGCCCAAUCCUAUCGAGAACCUUCUACACCCUUUUAGGGUUCAUUGCUCAAAUACUCUCUCAUUUUAGGGUUUGAAGAUGAAUCAGCGCCGCUAUUCUUCUCCCUCGUUCCUUUUCUAUCCCAAACCUUCCUCUGUCUUCUGCUACAUCUCUCGGUUUUCUUCUCCCGACCAAACCUUCCUCCUCCUUCCAAAUGCGCCGCUCACUCUCCCUUUUCCCCUCUGGUGGUUUAGGACGACGCCGAUUUUCUCCCUCUCAAUCACUCUCCCUAGUCCAAACCACCGACUCCGCUGUCACAUCUAGGCGGCGUCGCCUUCCUCCUCGGUGACGACGAAUGCGCUGCGGCCUCCCUCUGCGCAGCCCGUAUCCAGCCACCGCCGUCCGGUUUUCAAACGACGGAGUCGCCCAAGCCCUAGGCUCCAGAUAUCGUCCCCUUUCUCAUC